GUCGUAACAAGGUAACCGUAGGUGAACCUGCGGUUGGAUCAUUACUUAGUUCUUUUACGAAAGUGACUACUGAGCUCUGCCAUCUUAGUAUGGUAUCUUGACAUUAUGUGAACCGUAACCGUCUCUGGUGGGUGGGCAGCACUCUUUGAGUACUGCUUGUCAGCAUGAGUGUCACCGACACUUGUAGCCGUGGACAACCCACCAACCCUCGGCAUUUGCCGAUUAUUUUUUUCACCUUUAUUGUAUUUUCAUGACUGACAUCUACCUGUAUUUAAUACAAAAACAACUUUUGGCAACGGAUCUCUUGGCUCUCGCAACGAUGAAGAACGCAGCGAAAUGCGAUAAGUAGUGUGAAUUGCAGAAUUCAGUGAAUCAUCGAAUCUUUGAACGCACAUUGCACUUCCUGGUAUUCCGGGGAGUAUGCUCGUUUCAGAAUCAUUUAUAACCUCACAACCUUUCUUUGUUUAUUCAAGGAUCGCAAGUGGAUUUGUGCAGCUUUGUCAAUGAACCGGACAAUCGCAUUAAAAUGAUUGUGUGCUGUAAGCGUGUUGAAACCACUCUUAACUAACAAUGCUACAAAUUUUGGAAACAUUGCUGGUGAAAUAGUGUAAGAGACUGCUUAUGUGCCACUCCAAAGCAUCACAGGCUUAGAGAGCAUUUGCAAUCCGAGUCUGAAAACUUGGUCUGAAAUCGAGCAAGAAAACCCGCUGAACUUAAGCAUAUCAUAAGCGGAGGAAAAGAAACUAACAGGAUUCCCUUAGUACGGCGAGUGAAGUGGGAAUAGCUCAAAUUUGAAUCUCAUAGGUUUACCUGUGCGAAUUGUAGUUUAAAGAAACGUUUUCAGGGGUGGCUUGGGUAUAAGUCUUUUGGAAAGAGGCAUCGUAGAGGGUGAGAAUCCCGUUUAUGAUCCAAUGUCCACUCCUAUGUGAUACGUUUUCUAAGAGUCAGGUAGUUUGGGAUUGCUGCCUAAAAUGGGUGGUAAAUACCAUCUAAAGCUAAAUAUUGGCGAGAGACCGAUAGCGAACAAGUACCGUGAGGGAAAGAUGAAAAGAACUUUGAAAAGAGAGUUAAACAGUACGUGAAAUUGCCAAAAGGGAAACGCUUGGAACCAGUAUUGUUCUCAGGUAAUCAAGCGCACGUUCCGCAAGGGCCGCGUGUGUUGCACUUGCCUGAGGACAGGCCAACAUCAGUUUGGUUUGGGGUAAAUAACCGUGAGAAAGGUAGCUCGGAUUCGUCUGAGUGUUAUAGUCUCCGGCACCGCCCUGGGCUGGACUGAGGACUGCAGCGUUAUUUGGAUAUCCCGAUCGCCUCUUGAACCAUCUUCUUUAGACAGCAUGCUGACUUUAGGAAUGUCUAGAGAGCCCGGUUGGUUAAUCACACCAGCGCUUAGGAUGUUGGCGAAAUGGUUCCAAACGAC
rnacentral:rRNA from 1 species